rnacentral:rRNA from 1 species
AAUCAACGCUGGCGGCGUGCCUAACACAUGCAAGUCGAACGAGAAAGCGGGGGCAACCCCGUGAGUAAAGUGGCGACCGGGUGAGUAACACGUGACUAACCUGCCCUUCAGUGGGGGAGUAACCUCGGGAAACCGGGGCUAAUACCGCAUAACAUCUUGCGGGUGCAAUUCCUGCUGGAUCAAAGGAGCAAUUCGCUGAAGGAGGGGGUCGCGGCCGAUUAGCUAGUUGGUAGGGUAAUGGCCACCAAGGCGACGAUCGGUAGCCGGCCUGAGAGGGCGCACGGCCACACUGGAACUGAAACACGGUCCAGACUCCUACGGGAGGCAGCAGUGGGGAAUUUUGCGCAAUGGGGAACCCUGACGCAGCAACGCCGCGUGGAGGAUGAAGUCCCCUUGGGACGUAAACUCCUUUCGACCGGGACGAUAAUGACGGUACCGGUGGAAGAAGCCCCGGCUAACUUCGUGCCAGCAGCCGCCGCGGUAAU